rnacentral:rRNA from 1 species
CGGUUAAGUCCGCUAACGAGCGCAACCCUCAACCUGUGUGGUUUACAAAGUGUCACACGGAACUGCCGGUCAUAAACCGGAGGAAGGUGGGGAUGACGUCAAGUCAGCAUGGCCUUUAUAUCCUGGGCUACACACACGCUACAAUGGGAAGGGACAAUAGGUUGCGAAGCCGCGAGGCGGAGCCAAUCCAGCAAAACUUCCCUCAGUUCAGAUUGCAGGCUGCAACUCGCCUGCAUGAAGUUGGAGUUGCUAGUAAACGCAGGUCAGCCAUACUGCGUUGAAUACGUUCCUGGGGCUU